CGCCGCCAUUUUACAAUUUUAGUUCAAAGCGGAGGAAAUGUUCGGUCAGAAAAUCGAUCGGUAUGUUUACGUAAUGGGGUUGAAGUCCCCAGAAAGUAAAUGAAAUAAUUCUGUUUAUCGAAGAUUGAAAACUGAUGAUGAACAAGAUACUGAGUGUAAGGUCACAAAAGAUACCAUGAAUUUGUCGAUUCAGAUUGAAGGAUUAAAAUAUGUAUUCGUGUCACAGAGAAAAUGAAUUGGACCUACUUGUGCAUUCAUAUAUCUGAUGAAACAUUUUUUCAAAGCCGCAUGCCUCCAGAUUACCCAAAAUAUUUCAAAGAAAUUACACUUGGAAAAAAACAUACUAAAACUUUAAGAAAAAGUAAACAGAUCAAAGAUUCAAGUGAUAAUUUAUAUCUUAUGUGCAAUUAAUGACUGUAUAUUGCAGUAUUUAUCACCAUAUUUAUACUGCGUUACUAACGCAGUAGGGGCCAUUCAUGCACAUUUUGACUUCUUUUUGGUAAUUUAUGUAGAUUAUAAGUGCCGAUUUCAA